rnacentral:tRNA from 1 species
UAUGAUUUAGUAUAGAAGUAUAGAAAAUUUUGAUUUUUUUGGGAAUAGGUGUAACCUAUUAGUCAUAG